CACCCCUCAAGCGUAGCUUGGUAUUGGGCCCUCGCCCCCGUAGCGUGCCCGAAUAGCAGUGGCGGUCCGGUGUGACUUUAAGCGUAGUAAAACUUCUCCCGCUUUGAAAGAUCGCGCCGCGACCCGCCAGAAAACUCCAAUACUUCUAU
rnacentral:misc_RNA from 1 species